UACGAAGGUCCCGAGCGUUGUUCGGAAUCACUGGGCGUAAAGGGAGCGUAGGCGGCGUGGUAAGUCAGAUGUGAAAUCCCGGGGCUCAACCCCGGAACUGCAUCCGAUACUGCCAUGCUAGAGGAUUGGAGAGGUAGCUGGAAUUCUUGGUGUAGCAGUGAAAUGCGUAGAGAUCAAGAGGAACACUCGUGGCGAAAGCGAGCUACUGGACAAUUCCUGACGCUGAGGCUCGAAGGCUAGGGUAGCGAACAGG
rnacentral:rRNA from 1 species